AACGAACGCUGGCGGCGUGCCUAACACAUGCAAGUCGUGCGAGAAAGUUCCUUCGGGAGCGAGUAAAGCGGCGCACGGGUGAGUAACACGUAGGUAACCUGCCCCCCAGUCUGGAACAACUAGAGGAAACUCUAGCUAAUGCCGGAUAAGACCACGGCCCCCUCGGGGGCUGCGGCCAAAGAUGGCCUCUACUUGUACGCUAUCGCUGUGGGAUGGGCCUGCGGGCCAUUAGCUUGUUGGUGAGGUAACGGCUCACCAAGGCUGUGAUGGCUAGCUGGUCUGAGAGGAUGACCAGCCACACUGGGACUGAGACACGGCCCAGACUCCUACGGGAGGCAGCAGUGGGGAAUAUUGCGCAAUGGGCGAAAGCCUGACGCAGCGACGCCGCGU
rnacentral:rRNA from 1 species